CACAGAAAUAUUUUAAUUAUAUUUCGCGCGCCAGGAUCGUCAAGUCACAUGACAUCACUCUCCCAGAGUGAGUUGCAAGUGUAGGGUCGGUCAGCGAAAGAAGAGUGAAAAAUAAAACGGCAAUGGCGCAUGGUAAAUAUGGAUGUUUCAUCACAAUGUUCCCCAUCUCCACAUCCUUGGCCUGCAGCUCCUGUCGAGAUAGGAAUUCCACAAUGCCAGCCCCAAUGGAGUCACCCAAGACGUUGGUUGUGGUACGCAGCCGAUCACUACAAUCCAGGAAUAACGAACCAAUCAACUGCAAUGAUGAGGGUGAUGUCAUCAGUGGGAAGUCCAACAGAGGUCAACACAAUCACCAUGGUGACCAGUCCAGCCU